rnacentral:tRNA from 1 species
GGGUGUAGCUCAGUGGUAAAAGCAUGUAUCUGCCAUAUACAAGGGCCUGGGUUUAAUCCCAGGACACCCU